CUUGCUACCAUUUUGUUCAGGAUUUUUGUUUUGAUAUUAAUGAGAUUUUUGUGUAGGAAGUUGACAAGGUGUUGUUUUUAACAUUACAUAGACUUUAUUAAAAGAAUUUGUAAGUUUUUUCCUUGACUAUAGUUUGCUGUUCUUGCAUUGCUAUAUAUUAAUAGAAAUAGCUGAGACUGAGUAACUUAUAAAGAUUUAAUUGGCUCAUGGUUCUGCAGGCUAUACAGGAAGCAUGGUGUUGGCACCUGCCCUGCUUCUAGGGAGGCCUCAGGAAGCUUACAAUCAUAGUGAAAGGUAACAGGGGAGCAGGCAUGUCACAUGGCAAAAGCAGGAGUCAGUGAGACAGAUAGUGGAAAGGUAGGUGCCACACACUUUUAAAUGACCAGAUUUUGUGUGAACUCAGACUCAGAGCUCACUCAUUACCAAAGGGAUAGCCCAAACCAUUCAUGAGAGAUCCACACUCAUGAUCCAAACACCUCCUACCAGGUCCCAUCUCCAACAUUGGGGAUUACAUUUCAAUAUACGAUCUGGGCAGGAACAAAUAUCUAAUCUAUAUCAACUACAUUUUGUAAAUGUUUAAUAGCACCAGACUUACCAGUUUCUCGAAAGUUUGUGAAAAAUUACUGGUACAAUUGUAGCAGGAAUGUUUUUUUUUAGUGCCCAGCAACUUUUGAGCAACAUUUUAAUGGUUUGCUGUUUCUCACAUUGUGAGUUCUUCAUUCUCAAAGUAGAGCUCCUGUAUUUUCCAGGUUCCCUUUCAAGUGGGACGCAGACAUAUGACCUAGAUUUCAUCCAUCAAGACUAAUGCAAGAGUUGGAGGCAGAAGUGAGCACCAUGAGGUAGGAACCCACGACCAGGAGUUUGAAGGCCAGGCAGGCUUGUUGGCAGAUGCACCUGGAGUCUUCACGGAAACUGUGGCAAGCCACAGGCAGCAGAGGCAUUCUCAACUGCAUUGUUCUUGUCUGUGUAACAUCCUAGCCUGGUUCUGCAGCCCUCCUGGAGUUCCUAUGAGUUGCCUGAUAUUUUCUACAAAUCUCUUUAUGCUUCAAUUAGCCAGGGUGAGUUCUGUUUACAUCAAAUUGGUAAAUGCUAAGGGAAAUAAUUGCAAGCAACAGAUCCUCAAGGAAAUGAGAGAGAUCUGAACAGUCUUCAGAAGGAUUUCUUCUACCAACACCUUGAUUUUUGAACUUUUCUCCUCCAGAACUGUGAGAC
rnacentral:lncRNA from 1 species